UACGUAGGGUGCAAGCGUUGUCCGGAAUUAUUGGGCGUAAAGAGCUCGUAGGCGGUUUGUUGCGUCGGCUGUGAAAUCCCGAGGCUCAACCUCGGGUCUGCAGUCGAUACGAGCAAACUAGAGUGUUGCAGGGGAGACUGGAAUUCCUGGUGUAGCGGUGAAAUGCGCAGAUAUCAAGAGGAACACCUGAGGUGAAGACGGGUUGCUGGGCCAACACUGACGCUGAGGCGCGAAAGCCAGGGGAGCAAACGGG
rnacentral:rRNA from 1 species